CUGGAUGUUUGGACAGCAGGUGUGUGGAGGCCGAGGGCAGCCAGCACCAGGGCGCGGCCCUCUCCAUUCCGAGGCUGUCCUGUUUCCAGGAUGCAGGUCUCCUGACUUCUCCUCUGUGAUUAAUGUGGAAGCCAUUUCUUGAUGUACUGUCUUAAUAACAUGGUGAAGGCAGACGCACGGGCUUUGGUUGCUGACGGUGACAGCACUUUUAUCUGACCAGCCCUCACCCCGAUUCCUGCGAGUCCGGUAGGUAGCAGAGGCAGCGAGUGAGGGAAGAGAGAAUCUGAAUUAAUCAGUGAUUUGCCUAGGGUAGUGAUUAGCUACGACUCAGACCUGCCGCCUAGCAUUUUAAGCAAUGGCCCAACUUCCUUUAGUUUUCUACUCUCUUUCGGGGCUGGGAGAACUCUCUUAAUAAAAUGCGUUCACCUGCAGAUGUAUUUGGAGGGUAAAAUGCCAACUCAUUAAAAAUGGUGAAAUCCCCAGUAGCUAAAGCCUUCCCCGUGGGUGAACUUAAACUUUCCAUACUGCCUAAGAAGGGGGCAAUGCCACUCGAUAUUAUCCCCAAGUGGGUGUCCUCCUGCCAAUUAGACUGUCAAUACUCCCAGGGCAAAGCCCUAAUCUUGCUGUUUUGAGUACUUUUAAAUAACUUCUACCAGUGUGGGUACUUUCUGGCCUGCUGGUUGGCUUAACUAAGUACAAGAGUUGAAACUGGGUCAUGAUGUCCCUGGCAUGCUUUUAUCAGGUAUGGUGAUUAAGAAUUUGGGCGUGAGUGCUUGGUGAUUAGACUGCCUGGAUUAGAAUCAUAGCUGGCUGUGUAGCUUUGGGGAUUCAGUUAACCUCUCUGAGCUUCAGUCCUUUGAACUGUAAAAUGAGCUGUUAGAAUGAGUCAAGGGGAUGGUGUAACUGAAGCACUUAGCAUUCAAUAAAAAGACAACCAUUAUCAUCAACAGAUGGCUGACUGGGCCAGCAGGGGCACAGGUUCAUUUGCCUCUGGAGCCCAGGCAGUGGCUCUUUUGGAGAGCUCAGGGUGACUUCUGCUAGGUUGCUCCUAAGGGGGGCUUCUCCCCACAAGGAGCUGGGAUAUAGGGCCAGUGGCCAUGUGCUGGACGUGGCUCAAUCUUUCCAUAGCUGCCCAGGCAGAGGUCUCUACCCCAAACUCCCACCCAGUUGGCCCAGAGAUCUAGGGAACAUCCUUGCUUCUUGGGAGGAAAUAGGAGCUCUCCAAACUCCCUUUGGGCUUGUCUCCUGGGGCUCAUCAAAGGCCCGUGGCGUGGGCUCCAGAGGAGAAGGUCUCUCCCUAGCUGCAUGCCCGGGCGAGGUACAUACAGGUGACUGUGCUCUCCUACCCCACCUGGACACAGGUUCCCAGCUCCUAACAGAGUUCCCGAUGCUCCAGGCUUAAAACAGGAGUCUGUUGCCCUGGCUCUGGAGGCUGGGAUCUAAGGAGUCAGCCGGGCCAGGCUCUCAAGGCAACUGGAGGGAGGAUCCUUCCCUGCCUCUGGUGGCUUUGGGUGCUUCCCCGCCAUCGGAUGCAUCUCUCCAGGUCUCGAGCAUCUCUCCCUGGGUGUCUUCACACUGUCUGCCCUCUGCCAGGUCUGCUCUUGUCCACAUUCCCCUCUUCAUCAGGUUACCAAUUACAUUGGAUCUGACUGUGGCCUCGUUUUAACCUGAUUUCCUCAGUAAAGAGUCUAUCUCCAAACCAGGCACCUCCUGAAGCCCCAGGGGCUGGACUUCAGUGCAUCUUUUGUGGGGGUACGACCCAAGACCACCUGUGAUGGUUGAUUUAAUGUAUCAACCUGGCUGAGCCACAGUACCGGGAAAUGGGGUCAGACAUGAUUCUAGGUAGUUCUGUGAAGACUCUCCGUGUGUUAGGUGAUGUGAACACAUAAACCAGGAGACCUUGAGUGAAGCCAAUGAUCCUCAAGAGACAAAGAUGAGGCUCCCUUGGAGAAGAGGAAGUUCUACCCACAGACUGCCUCUGAACUUGAACUGAAACCCUGGGCAGCCUCUCCGCCCCGCCAGCCCACUCCACGGGUUUCAUAGACUUGAAGGUCUAUACCUGAAGGUUCCACAACCAACCACAGAUCAACAAUGUUUAGGGAAGGAAUGGCGUCAGUAGUGUAAAGACUUUCCUUGUUACCAUUCCCUACAUAAUAUAGUCUAACAACUAUUUACAUAGUGUUUACAUUGUACUGGGUAUUACAAGCAAUACCUAGACAUGACCUGAAGUAUAAGGGAGAGUGUGUAGGUUAUAUAAAGAUAUUGUGUCAUUUUACAUAAGAGACUUGAGCCUCUGUAGAUUUCCAUAUCUCUGAGGUGUGGGGGGAGGGUCCUGGAACCCAUCCCUUGUGGGUAUCUGUAUACAUUCUGUUGAUCUCAUUUCUCUGAUGAUUCCUACUAAGAUAGCAUCCAGUGGUCCCAGGGACGCUCCUGUAGACCCAGGGCCCUGGCUCUGGUGCUAUGGCAAUGUCAAAGCUGACACUACUCCAUGUAGAUCUCACGCAGACCCGAGGCUGCCUUGGAACACAUCUCACUGUCAACAAACUAUCCAUCAACCCCCAAACGGGCAUUUCUGAGCCCUUAGUUUUUAUUUAUCCCCUCGGCGAGGGAAGGUUGAACUGUUCAGUCUCGGUGUGAAUUGCUUUGAGAGGUGAUGGGGAAGAAAUGAGAAGAAAUUCCUUUGCUUCACAAUUCAGCAGUCCUGGAGGCUGGCAUUCCGCAGAAGGGCUUAGAGUGGACUCACUGUUUUAAGCAUCGCACAGAACGCCGUAGCGUCCACCACGCUCUUCAUUACCUGAUCCUCGUCGCUGCCUAACAAUCUGCUCCAGACUGGAGUGGUUCAGGAUACGAUUGUUUGUUCAUGGUUCUGAGGGUCAGCAGCUUGCUCUGGGAUAAACUGGAUGGUCUUUUCUGGAGUCAAUUACUCACCUGGCAGCAUAACAGGAACUAGAUGGUCCAAGAUGGCCUUGCCCGGCUGGCAGUUGGUACAGUGGCUGUUGGCUGGGUUUCUCUCUCAGUGAGACUUCUCAUCUUCAAGAUGGCAAGCCUGGGCUUCCUGUGUUCUGAGAACAUAGGAAUGGAUGCUGCAAGACUUCUCAAGGCCUAGGCUCAGAAGUUGCCAAAACACCACUUUAGUGGCAUUCUUUUGGUCAAAGCGCUUAAAGAACCUUCCCAGAUUCCUGGCAAGGAGGAAGAGAUCCCACCUCUUAACGGGAAUCAGUGCGAAGCCACAUGGCGGAGAGUUGUUCAUACACUGACCUGAGGAUGGCCAGUUCUGCAAACAAUCGACCGCAUCCACUAUGCAAAUGAAGCCAGUGAUGGGGUCGGUGAGUUAUGUCUGGAUACUCCCUUGGAAGUGAUGGACACGAUACUGAUCAGACCCAGAGAGCAGAGGUGGAUCUGGGAUGUGUGAGGACAUGGCUAUUUCUUUCACAUUUGAUUGGGAACCUGGCAGGAAAGGUGUUUGGACUCUGCCUGAUUCAAAGUCUAGUCUAUAAAUUUUUUCCUGCAAAAUUAGAUAUUUGUCUCAUCUCUGUUACGGCACAGCCGGAGGCAUCUGGUAGAGCCUGCUAACUUAUGUUCUUAGAUUUUCCUUGGCAGAAAUGAAAUUUUUUUCCCUAAGAUUUUUUUUUUCCUCUCUAAGGCUGAGGCUUUGGGUUAAUACUGGGGAUCUACAAUUCAUAAAUUCCUCUUGGUUCAUUCUUUCAAAAUGAGACAUUUAAUAGAUUGCAAAGACUUAAUAAGGGUGCUGCUUAGUCACCUAAUGAAGUUAUUGUACAUGUGGCUGACAGCUGGUAGUUUAUUAUUAUCCUUGUUCCUGAUAAGAGUCGUACUGUACACAGUGGUUGUCUAAUAAAUAUUAGCUCUACCGACAUAGCUGUGGACGAUGAUCUGUCCCUUUGUGUCUCACCAAUCAUCCAUAAUACAUUCUUCUAUUAAUGCUGCAUCUAUAUUCUGUUAAUUUUGUCAAUUAUAUGUAGAAGGGGGGUAGAGCUGUGUGUCUUUAUUAUUGUUAGCUUAAAUGAUCUAAUUUAUUCUGCCGCCGUGUUUCACUCAGCAUAGCAAGUCACAAUAUUUUUCUGUCCCCGCAGUGAAAGACUGCAGUUAGUUGAUCUCGCUAACAAGGGAUAAUUAUUAGCUUCCUCAAGAACGGUCCCCUAUAUGCAUUACUAAGCAUUCCAGAAGGAUUAAUAUUUCCAUGAAUGUUGGACAAGAUGCUGUAGCGGCACAGCGAGAUAGGGCUGUUUUAAUAUUUGUCCUCGUUUCAUUUGCAUAUCUAUCACUGGUAAUUUGUUCAUGCCGCUUGUGUUUCAGCCUGUCACCAUGCGGAGAAUUAAUGCACCUCCACCGGCCGGGCACCCAAUGCCAAAGUGAGCACCACCGGGCAAGUCAGAACCUCAGAGGGUUCUGGCCAUCACCAAGUUUACAUUCAAGAGCAACUUAAUCGCAGGGUGAUGCUUUUUCUGAAAAGUGAGCAGUGAGAUGGCAGAUUUGAAGCACGGUUCAUUGACGUUCAAGGGUUUCUUCCUCAGAUGAGCAAAGCUGUUCUGGCACUUGGAAUUGCACCGUGUUUUCUGAUUGUUUGGUUAUUGUCAUUGGGAGCAUGCAACAACGUUGGGGCUUAAAAUUCAACAGAGGAUUGAUUCUAGUCAGUGGUGGCUGGGAAGGCUUUGAUUGUCAGCUCAGGGUCCAGAAGAAACAAAAACUGGGAGCGUCAGCAUCCAUUUGGACAUAAUUGUACUGGACAUCUUAACCAAGCCACAUACAUGCCUGUAUGGAAAGCAUUUAAUUAUUUUAAUAUAUUCCCAGUGAAUUUUUCUAUUUAGGAGAGCUUUAACCCACAAGGAAGCAAAUAUUGAUAUUAUAUUAACUUGAAGUUGGAAUUUAGCUGUUACUAUGAAACAUUUAUGAAGUAUCUGGUUCCGUCAUUCAUGGGUUCAAUUGCAUCAAUCAAGAGAUAAUUAUUGAAGAGCUCACGUGCACCGGAUGCACAGUAGGUUGUAGGAACACCGGGGGAGUUUGCAGUCUGGAGGGGAGAAAAGACAAGGAAGCCACAGCUCUAGCACGGUGGAAUCUGU
rnacentral:lncRNA from 1 species